rnacentral:sRNA from 1 species
UUUCUGUAAGGCGAACCGUCACCGGAUGGUGUGCCUGCCAAGCAAUCGCUUGGCUAGCCUGCAGAAACGCC